rnacentral:rRNA from 1 species
UACGAGGGGGGCGAGCGUUGUUCGGAAUUAUUGGGCGUAAAGGGUGCGUAGGCGGUUCGGUAAGUUUCGUGUGAAAUCUUCGGGCUCAACUCGAAGUCUGCACGAGAUACUGCCGGGCUUGAGUGUGGGAGAGGUGAGUGGAAUUUCCGGUGUAGCGGUGAAAUGCGUAGAUAUCGGAAGGAACACCUGUGGCGAAAGCGGCUCACUGGACCAUAACUG